AGAGUUUGAUUCUGGCUCAGGAUGAACGCUGGCGGCGUGCCUAACACAUGCAAGUCGAGCGAAGCGCUUUACUUGAAUUCUUCGGAAGGAAAGUAUUGUGACUGAGCGGCGGACGGGUGAGUAACGCGUGGGUAACCUGCCUCAUACAGGGGGGUAACAGUUAGAAAUGACUGCUAAUACCGCAUAAGACCACAGCACCGCAUGGUGCGGGGGUAAAAACUCCGGUGGUAUGAGAUGGACCCGCGUCUGAUUAGCUAGUUGGUAAGGUAAGGGCUUACCAAGGCGACGAUCAGUAGCCGACCUGAGAGGGUGACCGGCCACAUUGGGACUGAGACACGGCCCAAACUCCUACGGGAGGCAGCAGUGGGGAAUAUUGCACAAUGGGGGAAACCCUGAUGCAGCGACGCCGCGUGAGUGAUGAAGUAUUUCGGUAUGUAAAGCUCUAUCAGCAGGGAAGAAAAUGACGGUACCUGACUAAGAAGCACCGGCUAAAUACGUGCCAGCAGCCGCGGUAAUACGUAUGGUGCAAGCGUUAUCCGGAUUUACUGGGUGUAAAGGGAGCGUAGACGGAGAGGCAAGUCUGAUGUGAAAACCCGGGGCUCAACCCCGGGACUGCAUUGGAAACUGUUUUUCUAGAGUGUCGGAGAGGCAAGUGGAAUUCCUAGUGUAGCGGUGAAAUGCGUAGAUAUUAGGAGGAACACCAGUGGCGAAGGCGGCUUGCUGGACGAUGACUGACGUUGAGGCUCGAAAGCGUGGGGAGCAAACAGGAUUAGAUACCCUGGUAGUCCACGCCGUAAACG
rnacentral:rRNA from 1 species